rnacentral:rRNA from 1 species
CCUACGGGUGGCAGCAGUGGGGAAUAUUGCACAAUGGGGGAAACCCUGAUGCAGCAACGCCGCGUGAGUGAAGAAGUAUUUCGGUAUGUAAAGCUCUAUCAGCAGGGAAGAAGAAAGACGGUACUUGACUAAGAAGCCCCGGCAAACUACGUGCCAGCAGCCGCGGUAAUACGUAGGGGGCAAGCGUUAUCCGGAAUCCCUGGGUGUAAAGGGAGCGUAGACGGCUGUGCAAGCCUGAAGUGAAAGGCGGGGGCCCAACCCCUGGACUGCUUUGGGAACUGUGCGGCUAGAGUGCAGGAGGGGUAGGUGGAAUUCCUAGUGUAGCGGUGAAAUGCGUAGAUAUUAGGAGGAACACCAGUGGCGAAGGCGGCUUGCUGGACUGUAACUGACGUUGAGGCUCGAAAGCGUGGGGAGCAAACAGGAUUAGAUACCCGGGUAGUC